rnacentral:rRNA from 1 species
AGCGUACACGGUGGAUGCCCUGGCAGUCAGAGGCGAUGAAGGACGUGCUAAUCUGCGAUAAGCGUCGGUAAGGUGAUAUGAACCGUUAUAACCGGCGAUUUCCGAAUGGGGAAACCCAGUGUGAUUCGUCACACUAUCAUUAACUGAAUCCAUAGGUUAAUGAGGCGAACCGGGGGAACUGAAACAUCUAAGUACCCCGAGGAAAAGAAAUCAACCGAGAUUCCCCCAGUAGCGGCGAGCGAACGGGGAGGAGCCCAGAGCCUGAAUCAGUGUGUGUGUUAGUGGAAGCGUCUGGAAAGGCGCGCGAUACAGGGUGACAGCCCCGUACACAAAAAUGCACAUGCUGUGAGCUCGAUGAGUAGGGCGGGACACGUGGUAUCCUGUCUGAAUAUGGGGGGACCAUCCUCCAAGGCUAAAUACUCCUGACUGACCGAUAGUGAACCAGUACCGUGAGGGAAAGGCGAAAAGAACCCCGGCGAGGGGAGUGAAAAAGAACCUGAAACCGUGUACGUACAAGCAGUGGGAGCACAGAGCAAUCUGUGUGACUGCGUACCUUUUGUAUAAUGGGUCAGCGACUUAUAUUCUGUAGCAAGGUUAACCGAAUAGGGGAGCCGAAGGGAAACCGAGUCUUAACUGGGCGUUAAGUUGCAGGGUAUAGACCCGAAACCCGGUGAUCUAGCCAUGGGCAGGUUGAAGGUUGGGUAACACUAACUGGAGGACCGAACCGACUAAUGUUGAAAAAUUAGCGGAUGACUUGUGGCUGGGGGUGAAAGGCCAAUCAAACCGGGAGAUAGCUGGUUCUCCCCGAAAGCUAUUUAGGUAGCGCCUCGUGAAUUCAUCUCCGGGGGUAGAGCACUGUUUCGGCAAGGGGGUCAUCCCGACUUACCAACCCGAUGCAAACUGCGAAUACCGGAGAAUGUUAUCACGGGAGACACACGGCGGGUGCUAACGUCCGUCGUGAAGAGGGAAACAACCCAGACCGCCAGCUAAGGUCCCAAAGUCAUGGUUAAGUGGGAAACGAUGUGGGAAGGCCCAGACAGCCAGGAUGUUGGCUUAGAAGCAGCCAUCAUUUAAAGAAAGCGUAAUAGCUCACUGGUCGAGUCGGCCUGCGCGGAAGAUGUAACGGGGCUAAACCAUGCACCGAAGCUGCGGCAGCGACACUAUGUGUUGUUGGGUAGGGGAGCGUUCUGUAAGCCUGUGAAGGUGUGCUGUGAGGCAUGCUGGAGGUAUCAGAAGUGCGAAUGCUGACAUAAGUAACGAUAAAGCGGGUGAAAAGCCCGCUCGCCGGAAGACCAAGGGUUCCUGUCCAACGUUAAUCGGGGCAGGGUGAGUCGACCCCUAAGGCGAGGCCGAAAGGCGUAGUCGAUGGGAAACAGGUUAAUAUUCCUGUACUUGGUGUUACUGCGAAGGGGGGACGGAGAAGGCUAUGUUGGCCGGGCGACGGUUGUCCCGGUUUAAGCGUGUAGGCUGGUUUUCCAGGCAAAUCCGGAAAAUCAAGGCUGAGGCGUGAUGACGAGGCACUACGGUGCUGAAGCAACAAAUGCCCUGCUUCCAGGAAAAGCCUCUAAGCAUCAGGUAACAUCAAAUCGUACCCCAAACCGACACAGGUGGUCAGGUAGAGAAUACCAAGGCGCUUGAGAGAACUCGGGUGAAGGAACUAGGCAAAAUGGUGCCGUAACUUCGGGAGAAGGCACGCUGAUAUGUAGGUGAAGCGACUUGCUCGUGGAGCUGAAAUCAGUCGAAGAUACCAGCUGGCUGCAACUGUUUAUUAAAAACACAGCACUGUGCAAACACGAAAGUGGACGUAUACGGUGUGACGCCUGCCCGGUGCCGGAAGGUUAAUUGAUGGGGUUAGCGCAAGCGAAGCUCUUGAUCGAAGCCCCGGUAAACGGCGGCCGUAACUAUAACGGUCCUAAGGUAGCGAAAUUCCUUGUCGGGUAAGUUCCGACCUGCACGAAUGGCGUAAUGAUGGCCAGGCUGUCUCCACCCGAGACUCAGUGAAAUUGAACUCGCUGUGAAGAUGCAGUGUACCCGCGGCAAGACGGAAAGACCCCGUGAACCUUUACUAUAGCUUGACACUGAACAUUGAGCCUUGAUGUGUAGGAUAGGUGGGAGGCUUUGAAGUGUGGACGCCAGUCUGCAUGGAGCCGACCUUGAAAUACCACCCUUUAAUGUUUGAUGUUCUAACGUUGACCCGUAAUCCGGGUUGCGGACAGUGUCUGGUGGGUAGUUUGACUGGGGCGGUCUCCUCCUAAAGAGUAACGGAGGAGCACGAAGGUUGGCUAAUCCUGGUCGGACAUCAGGAGGUUAGUGCAAUGGCAUAAGCCAGCUUGACUGCGAGCGUGACGGCGCGAGCAGGUGCGAAAGCAGGUCAUAGUGAUCCGGUGGUUCUGAAUGGAAGGGCCAUCGCUCAACGGAUAAAAGGUACUCCGGGGAUAACAGGCUGAUACCGCCCAAGAGUUCAUAUCGACGGCGGUGUUUGGCACCUCGAUGUCGGCUCAUCACAUCCUGGGGCUGAAGUAGGUCCCAAGGGUAUGGCUGUUCGCCAUUUAAAGUGGUACGCGAGCUGGGUUUAGAACGUCGUGAGACAGUUCGGUCCCUAUCUGCCGUGGGCGCUGGAGAACUGAGGGGGGCUGCUCCUAGUACGAGAGGACCGGAGUGGACGCAUCACUGGUGUUCGGGUUGUCAUGCCAAUGGCACUGCCCGGUAGCUAAAUGCGGAAGAGAUAAGUGCUGAAAGCAUCUAAGCACGAAACUUGCCCCGAGAUGAGUUCUCCCUGACUCCUUGA